CCUAGGGUUGUAGGCUUUGCCUGCUAUCUCUUACCCAUGUCUUUUGAGUACCUUCGUUUCCCUCGGCGGGUCCGCCCGCCGAUGGACAACUAAAACCAUUUUGUAAGUUGCAAUCAGCGUCAUGAAAUAAAUAAUAGUUA
rnacentral:misc_RNA from 1 species